CCCCCUCCCCGCAGGCUUCGGGAGGCGGGGACGCGGCGUCGGCGGCUUCUCCAGUCGCGUCUUUCUCCCUCACUGGGGAAACCGGCGGUGGCGGCACCUUCGGAGGCUGAGCAGCUGAGCCGCGAGCCCGCCAGUGGGAGGUCGGACAGACUGACUGCAGAGCCGACAGACGGACGGACAGCGGGGCAGCCAGACGGCUCGAGUCGCCUCGAGUUCCGCCAUGAGCUGGGGCACGGAGCUUUGGGAUCAGUUCGACAGCUUAGACAAGCAUACACAAUGGGGAAUUGACUUCUUGGAAAGAUACGCCAAAUUUGUUAAAGAGAGGAUAGAAAUUGAACAGAACUAUGCAAAACAAUUGAGAAAUCUGGUUAAGAAGUACUGUCCCAAACGUUCCACCAAAGAUGAAGAGCCAAGGUUUACUUCGUGUAUAGCCUUUUUUAACAUCCUUAACGAGUUAAAUGACUAUGCAGGACAGCGAGAAGUAGUAGCAGAAGAAAUGGCGCACAGAGUUUAUGGUGAAUUAAUGAGAUAUGCUCAUGAUCUGAAAACUGAAAGAAAAAUGCAUCUUCAAGAGGGACGAAAAGCCCAGCAAUACCUUGACAUGUGCUGGAAACAGAUGGAUAAUAGUAAAAAGAAAUUUGAAAGAGAAUGUAGAGAGGCAGAGAAGGCACAACAGAGUUAUGAAAGAUUGGAUAAUGAUACUAAUGCAACCAAGGCAGAUGUUGAAAAGGCUAAACAGCAGUUGAAUCUACGUACACAUAUGGCUGACGAAAAUAAGAAUGAAUAUGCUGCACAAUUACAAAACUUCAAUGGAGAACAGCACAAACAUUUCUACGUAGUGAUUCCUCAGAUUUACAAGCAACUACAAGAAAUGGAUGAACGAAGGACUAUUAAACUCAGUGAGUGUUACAGAGGAUUUGCAGACUCAGAACGCAAAGUUAUUCCCAUCAUUUCAAAGUGUUUGGAAGGAAUGAUUCUUGCAGCAAAAUCAGUUGACGAAAGAAGAGACUCUCAGAUGGUAGUAGACUCCUUUAAGUCCGGAUUUGAACCUCCAGGAGACUUUCCAUUUGAAGAUUACAGUCAGCAUAUUUAUAGAACCAUUUCUGAUGGGACUAUCAGUGCAUCCAAACAGGAAAGUGGGAAGGUGGAUGCCAAAACCACAGUAGGAAAGGCCAAGGGCAAGUUGUGGCUCUUUGGAAAGAAGCCAAAGCCACAGUCCCCACCCUUAACCCCUACUAGUUUAUUCACAUCCAGUACUCCUAAUGGGUCCCAGUUUCUCACAUUCUCCAUUGAGCCCGUGCAUUAUUGUAUGAAUGAAAUAAAAACAGGGAAGCCCAGAAUUCCUUCUUUCAGAAGUCUCAAAAGAGGGUGGUCGGUGAAGAUGGGCCCAGCACUAGAAGAUUUCAGUCAUCUGCCACCAGAACAGAGACGUAAAAAACUACAGCAGCGCAUCGAUGAACUUAACAGAGAACUACAAAAAGAAUCAGACCAAAAAGAAGCACUCAACAAAAUGAAAGAUGUAUAUGAGAAAAAUCCACAAAUGGGGGACCCAGGGAGUUUGCAGCCUAAAUUAGCAGAGACCAUGAAUAACAUUGACCGCCUGCGAAUGGAAAUCCACAAGAAUGAGGCUUGGCUGUCUGAAGUUGAAGGCAAAACAGGUGGAAGAGGAGACAGAAGGCAUAGCAGUGACAUAAAUCACCUUGUAACACAGGGACGAGAAAGCCCUGAGGGAAGCUAUACUGAUGAUGCAAACCAAGAAGUCCGUGGGCCACCCCAACAGCAUGGUCACCACAGUGAGUUUGAUGAUGAGUUUGAAGAUGACGAUCCCUUGCCUGCUAUUGGACACUGCAAAGCUAUCUACCCUUUCGAUGGACAUAAUGAAGGUACUCUGGCAAUGAAAGAAGGUGAAGUUCUAUACAUUAUUGAGGAGGACAAGGGUGAUGGAUGGACAAGAGCUCGGAGACAGAAUGGUGAAGAAGGCUACGUUCCCACAUCAUACAUAGAUGUAACUCUAGAGAAAAACAGUAAAGGUGCAGUAACUUACAUCUAAACUAACCCGGCAGCUUUGUAACAUGUAUGACAUAGGAACGAUAACAAAAUGAAAACACAGUCAAUGGGUGGGAAAACAUAAGAAAGCUGAAAGGGCAUCCAAGAUUUAUUGUUCACUGUGUGAGCUGAGUGUAGGCUCGAUCUUAGAGAUGUGACUAUUACAAGAAACUGUUCUCGUGACGCUUUACCAUUUGAGUGAUGUUGGUGUGAAGCUUAAUUGAUGCCUUUUGCUUUAUGUCCUGCUUAAGUCUGUGUGAAGGAUUUGUGUUUUUCUGCCUUAUAAAUCAUAAAAUUUAAUCUACUGGGCAGGAAUCCAUCCUGUAGAGGGGUAGGGAUAGAAAGCUCCCUACCCCUCUACACUUUGCUUCAGGAAACACAGUGACUGUAGUGAACUCAAGUAAAACUGCUCUGAAAUGCUUGCUAUAAAAAGCUGAUGCCCAAAAGAGGGGUUUGGUCUAGGGGUUUGAAAUUGUACCUACAGUUUCUAGGAAAAAUGUAAUAAUAGUUGGCUAAUUGGAUAAAAUACGAAUGUAAUCAUUUUCAUUUUUGUCCUUAUUCUCGACUUCAGUUUCCUAAAGGAAGAAAACAGGCACCUAACACAUAAUCUGUUUUAGUAGUAGGCUAAUCAAGAGACGUGCAAAAUAAACGGGCCUGGUCUUGCUCUUUAAAUGAAUAAAAUGGCUUUCUUUUAAGACCCAAGGAUAUUUUCAGGUUUUCUAGUAAUUUUCAAUAAUGUGCAAGCUUUCUUCUAAAUUAAUGCUUGUAUUUUUCAUCUUUAAAUGUCUUUUGAGAAAUACCACUUUAGUGAUGCUAGCAUUUAGCAAUUAUACAUAGGAAAGUGGAUUCUAAAUAAACUAAGAGGAAAUCUUGCAUGGAGGAGAAGUACUGGCAAAUUUUGCUUGAAAGAAAAAAUGACUUUUUUCACUAACUGGGUUGGAGGAAUAUAUCUCUGUCAUCACUGAAGGCAUUUCCUCAUUUUAGCUGAAUCGUCAAUUAUUAGGAGUUUUUUUUCCAAUUUUAAUAAGCAUUUGUUGGAAACACUGUAUAAUCAAGACAUGUGCAGUGCUAGUUGUGUAGGGGAGUAAAGUGAGGAAGCAAUUAAGAGACUGGUCCUUAAUUUUGCUCAUGUUCCAACAUGUUUUGGUGUUUUUAAUAGCUGACUAUAAAAUGAUUUUAGAGACAUUUGGGAUGGACACUUUAAACUGAACACUCCUUUUGGUCUUACUAAAGGUCUUCAGUAAUUGUUCUUUUCUUUUUCCUCCUGGACUGCAGGUUCCUGAAGAGGGUUUCUGAGGAAAUGGGCAAGAUGUUGAAGGAGGUUACAUGCAGCUGCUUUUGGGGGGAGGGUAUUAGAGUUGUCAGGCUCAGAGAGAGUGAGAGAAGCAAGUUGCAUGAGUGCAUGCAGACAUGAUUAUUUUUUUACUAACUUCAUUAGCAUUUCCGUACAUUGUUUUAAAAAAUCAUUGUAAUACCAACCCUUAAACUUGUCAAUUACAGUUAUUCACAUAAAGGAAAAAAGCCAACAAUGGCUAACCUUUGUUUUUUCCAUUUAUUUUACUGAUAUCCAAAUCAGAAAGAAUGCAGAGCUGUCCUUAAGUUUGUCAUAUCUGACUGUCCCAACAGGACUGUCCAUUGCAGCUCUUUUAAUUGGCUUUUAGACCCAUUGUCUGUUAGAAUCCUUGCCAUUUUUGACUGUUCCAAGAGGACUGUCCAUCGCAGCUCUGUUUAAUUGGCUUUUAGACCCAUUGUCUGUUAGAAUCCUUGCCAUUUGUCAGUGUCUGCCUGCGUCACCUCUGUGCUUGCUUAACAUCCUGUUGCAUGUCUAGAGUGAUCGGGUUUAGAUUUUUCAGGCAUGUCUCUAUAAUCCCUUGUUCUUGUCAAAGCCUUUGUUUUGUUUUACAUUUGUAGUGCAAAUCACUUUGUCAAACAUCUCCAGCACUAAUGUUUCCAUCCUACUAUUUGUGUACGCUGCUAUAACUUCCCCACUGCAAAACAUUCCAGUUUUGGCAUUAUGAAGAAGCAGUUUGUGAACCUGAAGUAUUUAUGAUCAGAAGAAAAAACAUCUCUGCUCUAGCCUACAGCCCAGUUGAAAGAACUCUUUGAAACAUGAUACAUCUUCAGCACCUCAGUCUGGGAAGAUCUAUAGUCAGCACUGAAAUCCUGGCAUAAUAAACACAGAAGAUACUCACCACCUCAAGACAAAGGACUGUUGUCAGAAGUCAGCUGCUUCCAUUCAAACGCUGCCUUAAACUAGAGUGCCUAAAUCUGCUGAUUGCCAACACUACCACUACAGUAUCCCACAAAGGGCUUUAUGUGUCAGCUCAGUGCGACCUCCAUUAACUCGGCAGUGCUGCUAUAGCUGCCGAUACAACCUCGCGGGGUGCUCCUGCCACUGUCUCUUGGCAUACAGCCUGCAUCCAGAUGGUACUGUUCUGUCCAAUGAGAUGAGAUGAGGAUCAGCUGCAUGUCCUCUCUCUCCAGGUGCCAGACAACACAUUAGCGCUGUGCUGCACACGGGACUUGACUUGAGGAGGUUAACUUGACCAAAGUCCAACUGCUAGCAAGCACCACAGCUGUUGUUGGAACCUAGGUCUUCUGGAGCCAGCUCUACCUUGUAUUCACCUCUGUCCCCUAAGCCAGAAACCUUAAAAUUUCCAUACCGCUCUCAUUGAUUUUGGUUUACUAUCAUCAAUCAGGAUGUAGUGGCACGGGAAGAGGGUGCCCCAGGAAGGUAGGAGGUAGAAUUAUUGUACUACAAUGAAUUGUUUAAUAUUAAAGAGACUGGAUACAGCUGUUUCACAAAAAGAUAUAUUUUCAUAUGACUAUUUACAUUUUUCAUAUUUAGUUAAAGAAUAUCAUACAACUGAUACCUUCUGAAAUGUUUCAUGCUUUUAAACUCUUCUAUUUACACUUAUCUGACAUGGAAUUAUUAAAACUAAAAUGGUCAAAUACCUCGGUAAUAGAAAGCAACCAGCCAAUGUAGCUGGGUCUUCACUUAAAUUUGUUGAUCAGCAUUAGCAAUAGUUACCUUAAUAAAUUAUCAUUCAUUUUAAAAUCAGUAGUAAUUUUAAACAAUUCAUAAAUAAGUGUGCUCUGUGCAAUUUACAUGUUUAAUAUCCUGUGGAUACUAAAAGCUUGUAUAUUGUCAGAUUUGCACAUUAUUACUUUACUUUAUCAAAUGAUAAGCUUUCUCAAAGAAGAAACUGGAUAAGCUUGAAAUUAUAUCCUAAGGUUCUCUGGAGAGUUAGUUAUCAAAGCUCUGCCUGCUUUAUAGGAGGAGGUUCCAAUUUACGUGAGAGGGCAGUUAAAAUCUGGUUGAAUUUCUCAUAUCUCUCUGUCUGAUUGACUUGUGCACCUUUGCUGCCCCAUAGCAAUCUCAUUUGGAAUUCAGUCUUGAAGAGUUCACUCAUUUCUUCAUCUGGUUGAAAACCUAGUAAAAACAAAACCAAAAAAACUUACUUCAGUUCUGCUUGAAACAGUGUUGAAAAUAGACUGAAAACUUGCUUGUUUUAAAGUAGGAGCAAAAUGAACAUCUCUCAGAACUUUCAAAAAAUGCCCCCAAGGAAAAAAAAUAUAGGAUCUACUCUAUAUAAAGGUGGGCAGAGCCCCCCCUCCCCAGGACCUGAGCACCUUCAGAGAAAGAAUAACAAGUAAACUCACUAAGACGUGAAUAAAAUUCGUGUGCACAAGCCACCAUGGGCCGUAGUGCUGUGAGAAGGAGUGUUCAAAGUACCUUUUUUUUUUUUUAACAGCUUUAUUGUUGUAUAAUUUACUUGUCAUGAUUCACCCAUUUUAGCUGCGGUUUAUACAGUUGCACAACCAUCACCACCACUUUAGAACAAUUCCAUCAAUCACCGUAGAAAAUCCCCUAGUACCUCUUUGCAGUCAAUCCCUGUACCUACCCCACACCACAGCCAACCACUAAUCUGCUUUCCAUCACUGUUGCUUUGCCUUUUGUAGAAAUUUGAUAUAAAUGGGAUUAUAUAACAUGGACUUUUUUUAAUGUCAAGCUUCUUUCACUUUGGCUUCUUUCACUCAGCAUGAUGUUAAGAUUAUUCCAUAUUGUUGUAGUUAUCAAUAAUUCAUUCCUUUUUAUUGCUGAGUAGUAUUCAGUUAUGUGGACAUAACAUACCACAUAUUGUUUACCAACUGAUAAGACAUUUGGAUUGUUUCCAGUUUCUGGCUAUUACAAAUAAUGUGAACAUUUGUGAUUAAGUCUUUGAGUGGACAUUUGUUUUCAUUUCUCUGGAAGUGGAAUUACUGGGUCACAUGGUAAAUAUAUGUUUACUUUUAAAGAAACCAUCAAACUCUUUUCCAAAAUGACUUUACCAUUUUAUAUUCUCAUCAGUAACAUGUGAAGAGUCCAGCUGUCAACUCUUGGUAUUGUCAUUCUAGAUAGCUCGUGGUGGUAUCUCACUGUGGUUUACAUUUACAUUUCCGUAAUAACUAAUGCUUUGAACAUUUUUCCAUGUAGUUUAUUGUCACUGUAUAUCCACUCUGGUGUAGUGUCUAUUCAAAUCUUUUGUUGAUUCAAAUCUUGUUUCUCUUCUCCUUGAGUUGUAAGAUUUCUUUAGAUUCUAGAUAUAAGUCCUUUAUCUGAUGUAUGUUUGCCAAAUAUUUUCUUCUAGUCUGUGGUGUGCCUUUUCACUUCCUUAAUGGUGACUUUUAAAGAGCAAAAUGUAAAAUUUUGAUUUAUCAGUUUUCUUUUAUGGUUCAUGCUUUUUGUAUCUUAAGAAAUUUUGCCUAACCCAAGGACACAAGGAAUUUCUCCUAUGUUUUCUUAUAGAAGCUUUACACUUUAGCUGUUACAUUUUGAGUGUAUGCUGUGACGUAAAGAUUGAGAUUCUUUUUUUGUAUAUGAUAAUCAGUAGUUCCAGCACCAUUUGUUGAAAGAUUACUUUAUGCAGUGAAUUACCUUGACACUGUUGUCAGAAAACAAUCUACAGUCACAUGUGUGGGCCUGUUUCUCAACUCUCUUUUCUCUUCUGUAAGAGAAGAUCUGCUCUACUUAUGGCCAAGGAUGCUCAGUCAACUCUAUUAGAGCAGGGGAAACCUCUAGCCAAAGCGUCAUGCAGGCAUAUGUUUCUCAUCCUUGAUUACUGCUGGAGUAGUUGGCUCUGUCAUUAAAUAUAUUCUCAUCAUCUAGAUCAUAGUAUCUUCGUGACGGAGAGGAUUAUAGAAGGCUUCUAUUCCAUUCAUCCAUGUGAUGCCAAAAUAUCUUUGGCAGAUAACCAGCCAGAGGCCAGAUGACAACUUCCACUCAUUCAGUUAAUAUGCUUUGAGCCCCUACCCUGGGCUGAGUGCUGGGAUAUGUUGGGGAGCAAAUCUCUGCCCUUACUGGGCUCACAGUCACUUCUAGCAAUGAGAACUUGCUAUGAAAACCAGUAGCAGGAUCAACUGAGAAAUACCAUCAGAUGCCUUUAAGGUGAUUUUCUGUAGAACAGCUUAGAGCAUACUUUUCUCAAAAUCCACCCUAAUAUUAUUGGCUUAGGCAACAUCUAAUGUAAUAUACUUAUUGGUUUUGUAUAAGCAGGUAUUCCAGUAUCUGGUGAGUUGAAUUACAGGCUUUUAUGGUUUGAGUCCUACACUGCCAACCCUGAAGAACUUUCUGAGGAAAAGAAAAGAAACAGUUAAGCGCAAAGAGCUCCAGUUGAAGAUGGCAACUUAGGAGUGUCCUGGGCUCACCUCCUUCUGUGGACACACUGAAUCUGUGGCUAAAUAUGGAGCAACUGCCUCUGGAAAAAAACUAAAAACUGUCUGAAUAACUGUCCGAAUGCAUAAAUGAGAGAAGGUCGACAUCAGAGCAGCAACUGCAGACCUACAAAGCGAUGCUGUCAUCUGAUAAAAGCCUUGGUGACCCAUCAACAGUCCUGCACAUAACUGAGAGCCUCAUAAUAUGCCCUGCUAAAUGCUUCAAUCAAACCAGAACAGAUAUGACACUGCCAGAGCUGCCACCAGACCCCCUUGUCCUGAUCCUGUGCUCACCUCUGCCUUCGUGCAGGAUUUUGCUAAAAGGCUUCAGCUGUUUCUCAUAGAGGAUGGCGGUUUGUGUGUACUGGUGCCGCAGGGCAGUCCACGUUUUUUCUAACCUUGUGAUCUGGAAGAAAGAAAGGUGUUAUCGUUUUGGAAAAGGCUCUUUUUAAAACUACCUUUUUGCUUAAAUUUUGGAAUGGAUGAUAGAGGUACAUGGUAAAAACUCAAAGCAGUUGAAAGGAGUGUAGAGAGAAAAGCUAAUCCCCGCCCCGACCCUGCUCCACAUUGUUCUAAUAACCCAUGAGACACACACACCUUUUACAAUAAAUGCGUAUCAUACUACACAUAUUUUUCUGUUCAUUGUUUGGAAAUUAUUCCGUGUAAGUACAUAUAAAACAGCAUAGAACAGUCUUGUUUUGUUAAACUUUUGCCUAGUGUUCCAUUUAUGCAUAAACCAUAGUUUAACUAGUUUCCUGUAGAUAAGCGCUUUAAACAUAUUUUUCUAUUACCAAAUAUCUGGAGGAUAAAUUUCCAGAAGUGGAACUACUGCGUCAAAAAAUACAUGUAUUUUGAGUUUUGAUAGGAGUUGCCAACUGUCCUCCAUAGAGGUUAUACUGAUGUAAGGAUGUAGAAUAUGACAUACAGCAUUUUAAU